ACAAUCAAUGACGUAAAGGAAAUUAUUUGAAUUGAUGUCUAUUCAUCAAGGAUAACUUCAAUCACAACUUCGCUUUUCGCACUAAAUCCGAUAUCAUGGGUGUUCAACAAGCCAUCAUUUUGUUUAUAUUAAGGUGUGUUCUCACACAUGUGGAUGGGUCAAAAGAUUGCGAGCCAGGCAAGUAUCGUGUCAGGUUUCUUGAAGGGCCAUGUCAUCCUUGUCCGGAGACAUUGAAAGGUUGUAACGAUCAGGGCUCAGAUGCAGACAUAUGUAAACAUUCAUGCAAGACAAAAUAUUUGACUACUCUGACUGCCAUCAUCAGCAACCAUUCCAGCUCAUCUUCAUGGAGCAAACAAAUCAAAAUUACGACUUCCCUUUGUCCGUUUCCGUCACUCAUGUUUCCAAACCCUGGAUAACAUUUCAAACAAACAUAACGAUCAACCAAACGGAUGAAUCAUCCUUGUCCACCAGCAACCUAGUGCUGCCGUUGAAUCAUCAUUCGAAGUCGGAUACUACAGAGGUCAUCCUCGUCGCGGUUUUCGUACCUCUGAGUCUGAUCACCAUUAUCGUAAUGUUGGUGUUGGGUUGUAUCUACAAACAUCGACAAAUCAUGAAAUACGCAAAAUGCCACAAUGACAUCAAUUCCAAGGAACAAUUUCCAAAGUGUGGUGGUACCACAUACAGGAAGUGAAGAAAUGAUGCAUUCAUGGGGAAACUUGGCAAACUAUGAUCAAUCUUCCUUCUGAACACUUUGGGCAGCUUUAAAAUUAUCACAGGAAAACUCUUGAGCUGCUUCAUUAUAACAACAGAAUUGUAUAUGCAUGAUCAUCGUUAAAGGACGUGAUUUGAUUAAUGCCAGUUCAAAUGAACAGGCGGGCAAGGUAAGACGUAUAGCUCGCUUAACCAGACCAAGUUUCUCUGAGCAUCGGUAUGCAACCAGAUAUAUAUGCGACCUGAGCUGGCUCUGGAACGCAUAAUUCAUUUGAGUUAUCUACAUGUAAUUUAUUUGUAAACUGGCCAUAAACCGAGUUAGUUCUUUUUGUUCUCGUACAUGUCUCUUUUAAACAUUCAAAAACUUAUUGUAUAAAUUUGACGGAGAAAUGUGAAUAACAAAGAAGUGAGUUUGUGCUAGAGGGAACUAUUAGCCUGGUUAAUGUGAGAUAUCGUCCCAUUCAGAUGAGGUCCAUAUACAAACGGGCUGGUCCGCGUUUCCCACACUGGUUGUGGGAUCUUGUCUGGAGUGAUAUUACCGCCUGUAUCAUAUGAACAUGCAUCUGAAGAUACAUUUUAUUAAAUUUUUUUUAAUUUUUACAAAUAUAUUCAUCAUAUAUAUCAUAACAGGCUCAUUUUCCAAUCUUUUGCUUCGAGGUGCCCAUACCACAAGCUUUGCACAAUGACAUUUCUACGUCUAAAGUUAACACUUUCUAAACUUUAGUUUAUAUAUAAAAUUGAUAUGAAUGUUGUCGUAUUGUUGUGCGACACUCAAUGAAUUCAGGGUUUAUCCAUAUAAAACCGGAAUGAUAACCGUUCAUUACACAAUAUUAUAUACGACUUUCGUAUAUUUAUAUUGUUGCACUGAUCUAUUCUCGAGUUCUUCCAAAGGUCUCCUCGGUUUAUAUAAGCCUGUAAACACAGUAUACAUCUUUUAUUUCUUAAAUAUAAAAUUAUCAACGAAAGUUAUACGAAAACAGAAAAUCUUGCUACAUACGCAAAACGACAAAUAAGCGUUGCCAAGUAUAUCGUGGCAACGAUUUAGCGUCUAAAAUUCGUGCAUGAUGCGAACUGAAAUCGAAUGCGAAUUGCCAUAUAGUUCAUUUGGAACAUGCCUGACCAACAGGGAAGUUUAUACAACGUCAUAACGAAUUGUUUUCAUACGUGCAAUCACUCAUUUGUCGGGUCAUCACCAUUUGCAAGGUUUAUCAUUUCAGAUUUGUGUACAAAACUUGAUUCUCUUCACAAUGAGCUAAAUUUGAAAAAUAACAGAUACGUUUAUCUUCCUUCGACAGAAGCUUGAAAGGUUCAAAUGACUUAUGAAUAAGCCACGAAAUACAGUUUUGAUUGCGGCGCCUCUUUUGAGAUGGCAUGACAAUAUUCCAGUGUUUUGCGACAACUAUGUUUAACGCGAAAAUCAUCACGAGUAGUGACAGAUAGUCUGAAGAGAUCAAAAACGAAAAUCGAUAAAGGCAGUUAAAAAUUUAUUUAAUUUUCGUUGCAGUUCAAAAGUUUUCAAUAAUUUAUUUUUCCAUAAAAGUUUUCGAUCUUUGAAAUUUUCUACAUAAAUUAAAUUUUCCGUAAAUUUACUUUUGGAGAUAGCUUAGAACAUGGUUGUAAAUAAUGAUUAUUUUGAUUACUGUUAAUUUACGUAUGUGUGAGACAAAGAUACAAAUGUGAUUAUUAUCACUUAAAGUGUACUGAUGAAUAACUUAAAAUUAUUUUUUCUAACAAAA